GCUGAACUGUUUUUGCGAUGUGUUCCUAAUAUGCAGUAUGAACAUAUUGGGAGCAUUUUGCAUGCAUGGUUUUGUAUC
rfam:Canis lupus familiaris chromosome X, whole genome shotgun sequence.